UACGGAGGGGGCUAGCGUUGUUCGGAAUUACUGGGCGUAAAGCGCACGUAGGCGGCUUUGUAAGCUAGAGGUGAAAGCCCGGGGCUCAACUCCGGAAUUGCCUUUAAGACUGCAUCGCUCGAAUUGUGGAGAGGUAAGUGGAAUUCCGAGUGUAGAGGUGAAAUUCGUAGAUAUUCGGAAGAACACCAGUGGCGAAGGCGACUUACUGGACACAUAUUGACGCUGAGGUGCGAAAGCGUGGGGAGCAAACAGG
rnacentral:rRNA from 1 species